rnacentral:rRNA from 1 species
UGGGGAAUUUUGGACAAUGGGCGAAAGCCUGAUCCAGCAAUGCCGCGUGUGUGAAGAAGGCCUUCGGGUUGUAAAGCACUUUUGUCCGGAAAGAAAUCCUUGGCUCUAAUACAGUCGGGGGAUGACGGUACCGGAAGAAUAAGCACCGGCUAACUACGUGCCAGCAGCCGCGGUAAUACGUAGGGUGCAAGCGUUAAUCGGAAUUACUGGGCGUAAAGCGUGCGCAGGCGGUUUGCUAAGACCGAUGUGAAAUCCCCGGGCUCAACCUGGGAACUGCAUUGGUGACUGGCAGGCUAGAGUAUGGCAGAGGGGGGUAGAAUUCCACGUGUAGCAGUGAAAUGCGUAGAGAUGUGGAGGAAUACCGAUGGCGAAGGCAGCCCCCUGGGCCAAUACUGACGCUCAUGCACGAAAGCGUGGGGAGCAAACAGGAUUAGAUACCCUGGUAGUCCACGCCCUAAACGAUGUCAACUAGUUGUUGGGGAUUCAUUUCCUUAGUAACGUAGCUAACGCGUGAAGUUGACCGCCCGGGGAGUACGGUCGCAAGAUUAAAACUCAAAGGAAUUG